rnacentral:misc_RNA from 1 species
CCUGCCUGCUUCCGUUUCUA